UGUGCCAGCAGCCGCAACAAGCCAGUGUGCCAGCAGCCGCGGUAAUACGUAGGGUGCAAGCGUUAAUCGGAAUUACUGGGCGUAAAGCGUGCGCAGGCGGUUCGCUAAGACGGAUGUGAAAUCCCCGGGCUUAACCUGGGAACUGCAUUUGUGACUGGCGGGCUAGAGUAUGGCAGAGGGGGGUAGAAUUCCACGUGUAGCAGUGAAAUGCGUAGAGAUGUGGAGGAAUACCGAUGGCGAAGGCAGCCCCCUGGGCCAAUACUGACGCUCAUGCACGAAAGCGUGGGGAGCAAACAGGAUUAGAUACCCUGGUAGUCCACGCCCUAAACGAUGUCAACUAGUUGUUGGGUCUUCAUUGACUUAGUAACGUAGCUAACGCGUGAAGUUGACCGCCUGGGGAGUACGGUCGCAAGAUUAAAACUCAAAUGAAUUGACGGG
rnacentral:rRNA from 1 species